rnacentral:rRNA from 1 species
UACGUAGGGGGGCAAGCGUUGUCCGGAUUUACUGGGCGUAAAGAGCGUGUAGGCGGCUAGGUAGGUCCGUUGUGAAAACUCGAGGCUCAACCUCGAGACGCCGGUGGAAACCAUCUAGCUAGAGUCCGGAAGAGGAGAGUGGAAUUCCUGGUGUAGCGGUGAAAUGCGCAGAUAUCAGGAAGAACACCCGUGGCGAAGGCGGCAUCCUGGACCAAUACUGACACUGAAAAGCGAAAGCCAGGGGAGCAAACGGG